UACGUGGGCAGCAAGCGUUGUUCGGAAUUACUGGGCGUAAAGGGCGCGUAGGCGGCAAAUUAAGUCAGCUGUGAAAUCUCCGAGCUUAACUCGGAACUGUCAGCUGAUACUGAUCUGCUAGAGUGCGGAAGGGGCAAUCGGAAUUCUUGGUGUAGCGGUGAAAUGCGUAGAUAUCAAGAGGAACACCUGAGGUGAAGACGGGUUGCUGGGCCGACACUGACGCUGAGUGCGCGAAAGCCAGGGGAGCAAACGGG
rnacentral:rRNA from 1 species